CAACUACUCCCUCUGUCCCAAAUUUCUUGUCUUAGAUUUGUCUAGAUACGGAUGUAUCUAAUACUAAAAUGUGACUUGAUACAUCCGUAUCUAGACAAAUCUAAGACAAGAUAUUUGGGACAGAGGGAGUACUUU
rnacentral:pre_miRNA from 1 species